rnacentral:rRNA from 1 species
AUUGAACGCUGGCGGCAGGCUUAACACAUGCAAGUCGCGCGGGGUGAUGGUGCUUGCACUAUCACUUAGCGGCGGACGGGUGAGUAAUGCUUAGGAAUCUGCCUAUUAGUGGGGGACAACAUCUCGAAAGGGAUGCUAAUACCGCAUACGUCCUACGGGAGAAAGCAGGGGAUCACUUGUGACCUUGCGCUAAUAGAUGAGCCUAAGUCGGAUUAGCUAGUUGGUGGGGUAAAGGCCUACCAAGGCGACGAUCUGUAGCGGGUCUGAGAGGAUGAUCCGCAACACUGGGACUGAGACACGGCCCAGACUCCUACGGGAGGCAGCAGUGGGGAAUAUUGGACAAUGGGGGGAACCCUGAUCCAGCCAUGCCGCGUGUGUGAAGAAGGCCUUAUGGUUGUAAAGCACUUUAAGCGAGGAGGAGGCUCUUUUGGUUAAUACCCAAGAUGAGUGGACGUUACUCGCAGAAUAAGCACCGGCUAACUCUGUGCCAGCCGCCGCAGUAA